rnacentral:misc_RNA from 1 species
UUAAGUUCAGCGGGUAGUCCUGCCUGAUUUGAGGUCAGAGUCAAAAUGAAGGGGGGCUUUGUGAGAGGGCCGCCGGGGGACGAGUGCUUAAAACGUCGAGGCAAGACCUACUAACACCUUUGAGGCGAGGCCCGCAGGCCAGCGCCCAAAUCCCAACGCCGCCGGAAACCCGGUGGUGUUGAGUUCACAUGACACUCAAA